GACGUAGGGCGCGAGCGUUGUCCGGAUUUAUUGGGCGUAAAGAGCUCGUAGGUGGUUUGUCGCGUCUGCUGUGAAAACUCAGGGCUUAACCCUGAGCUUGCAGUGGGUACGGGCAGACUAGAGUGCGGUAGGGGAGACUGGAAUUCCUGGUGUAGCGGUGAAAUGCGCAGAUAUCAGGAGGAACACCGGUGGCGAAGGCGGGUCUCUGGGCCGUAACUGACGCUGAGGAGCGAAAGCAUGGGGAGCGAACAGG
rnacentral:rRNA from 1 species